CAUGAUUCAUCGUAUGUCUUUAGAAUAUCUCCUGGUACCUUGGAUGGGGUUGAUGUGCAUUGCAGAAUGAAUGACAUUAAUGAGCAACUCCUGUGUUAGGCAAUUUCAAGCCUGUGUACUUGAUGCAUAACCAGAUUGAAAUUUCCCCAUUGGCCCUCUGAUUAGAUUUGGAGUCCAUGCUCCACCCUGUGAUCUUCUGGGCUUUGUCUCAGACUGCUGGAUGAUGUUGCUCUCACAGCUGUUGGAAGUGACCCAUUGAUGCAGUUGGCAACAGUUGCUCAGCAUCUGGAAAUUUAGCUGGAGAUAGCAAGAUCCCAGUCAUGUGUCAGACACAACCCAGGUGUCUCAUCUCCA
ensembl:lincRNA Gm11216 predicted gene 11216